rnacentral:rRNA from 1 species
GAAAUUGCGGGCAUGCUUAACAUGCAAGUCGAACGGCAGCACGGGUGCUUGCACCUGGUGGCGAGUGGCGAACGGGUGAGUAAUACAUCGGAACAUGUCCUGUAGUGGGGGAUAGCCCGGCGAAAGCCGGAUUAAUACCGCAUACGAUCUAAGGAUGAAAGCGGGGGACCUUCGGGCCUCGCGCUAUAGGGUUGGCCGAUGGCUGAUUAGCUAGUUGGUGGGGUAAAGGCCUACCAAGGCGACGAUCAGUAGCUGGUCUGAGAGGACGACCAGCCACACUGGGACUGAGACACGGCCCAGACUCCUACGGGAGGCAGCAGUGGGGAAUUUUGGACAAUGGGCGAAAGCCUGAUCCAGCAAUGCCGCGUGUGUGAAGAAGGCCUUCGGGUUGUAAAGCACUUUUGUCCGGAAAGAAAUCCCUGGUCCUAAUAUGGCCGGGGGAUGACGGUACCGGAAGAAUAAGCACCGGCUAACUACGUGCCAGCAGCCGCGGUAAUACGUAGGGUGCGAGCGUUAAUCGGAAUUACUGGGCGUAAAGCGUGCGCAGGCGGUUUGUUAAGACCGAUGUGAAAUCCCCGGGCUCAACCUGGGAACUGCAUUGGUGACUGGCAAGCUAGAGUAUGGCAGAGGGGGGUAGAAUUCCACGUGUAGCAGUGAAAUGCGUAGAGAUGUGGAGGAAUACCGAUGGCGAAGGCAGCCCCCUGGGCCAAUACUGACGCUCAUGCACGAAAGCGUGGGGAGCAAACAGGAUUAAAACCCCUGGGUAAAAAAAAUCUUUUGGAGGGGAAGGAGA